CUGGCCGUUUAAGCGACAGCAUUUUUCGCGUUCUAUACAGAAAUGUGUUUUCUUUUGCAGCACACCUACAUGUUUGCCAUUCCAUUUGACUGCUACUCCUUCUCCCCUCCCUCUCUCGCUUUGUGUCUCUCCGUCCCUAUCCAGUGCUCCCCCUCACUCACUCACUCUCUCUCUCUCUCUCUCUCUCUCUCUCUCUCUCUCUCUCUCUCUCUCUCUCUCUCUCUCUCUCUCCCUCUCUCUUCCCUUUGCCCGCUCAUCGCUGUUAAAUCAGAAGUGGAACCUGAGUAGAUUACUCGGAUCCAGGUUGAGGAUUGUGAUACUUCAGAACCUGAAUACCUUUAAUUUCGGUUUACAGCGUUGAACAGAAUACAAGCGACAUAUUGGAUAUUAACAAGUUGGGUUCCUCGGUCUCCUUUGUUUCCCUCCAGCGCUUGUAGCUGCUGGACCAUUGGAUGUACGUCACUGUAGCAGCAAGGAGAACCUAGGAAUGUCACCUGAGAGGCAAAGUGAGGUGGAUCCUGUUCAAUGACAAAGACAGCAGAUGAGCCUAGUUCACCUGUUCCUCUUGGACGGCCACAGGGAUGGAUGCUGUGAGGAACCUGGCUCUUGGGCUCCACCUUGAUAUGAUUCUCUAAGGGAGAAUAUGACUGCAGCAGCACUUCACUCAGUGCUCUGACAAGGACCUAAGUGUAGAAGCUAUGGCCUGCACCAACCUCACUCCUGCAGCAAAUGGUGCAUCCUCUGAUCCCCUAUCGUAAACAGAGCUUCAGCGUUGAGAAACAAGAGGAGCAAACAAGGCUGAACUCUAGAGCUUAAGGGGGGAUCGUUGUUGGAUCAGCAGUGAUUACGAAUUAAGUGAUGUUGUCCGUAAGCACAUUAGGUUAUGAUUAGUGAGGGCCGGUGAGAGCAGAGUGCUACACCUCUGAGGACUGUUGUGGAGCCGGCAUGCUAGUGAACUCUCCAGCGCCACGGAUCCUUACCUGUUCCAGUCGGGUUAAUAUGAUAUGUGAUGCUACAGUUGGGACAUUGAUAGAAGCCUCUCACUAUGACAAGUACCUCUGAUAAGAUUGUUUUGAGGACACACACACACAAAAUAUUUAGCUAUUUUGCAAACUACCAAUAUCCAGAGGCACAUUGUGAUUCCUCAAGUGAGUUGUUUUCUCAUUGCUAAAGUAGAUGAAUGCAUUAAUUGUAUUUUGCUACAGUGUAUAAAGAUAUUCAUAUUGAAUACUGAAACAAUUUAUAUGUUAAACAUAUGUAUAUGUGUUUUAUACACCUGUGAUAAUGACACAGCACCAAAUAUUAUGGAAGCCAUAAACAAUGGAAAAAACAGAUUGAAAUUAAAUUUGUUGUACAGAUUGUGAAAUUGUUUAUUAAAUGCUUUAAUAUGAGAGUUGAUGGUAUUUCUCUAGUUUGUGUCUUUUGAACUGAGCAAUGUAAAUGUGAUGCAUGUUCAAAUUAGAAAUGCAAAUAAUAAGAUUACAUACUGUGAAAGAGAGUGAUUCAUUACCAGUGGCAAAUAGACAGUCUGUGUUCCUUGUUGUAUGGAAAACACACUAAAAACAUUCAAACACAUCA